GCUUGCUCUUCUGCGGUUAGCGGCGGACGGGUGAGUAACACGUAGGCAACCUGCCUGUACGACUGGGAUAACUCCGGGAAACCGGAGCUAAUACCGGAUACGUUUUUCAAACCGCAUGGUCUGAAUUAGAAAGACCUUUGGUCACGUACAGAUGGGCCUGCGGCGCAUUAGCUAGUUGGUGGGGUAACGGCCUACCAAGGCGACGAUGCGUACCCGACCUGACAGGGUGAUCGGCCACACUGGGAGUGACACACGGCCCAGACUCCUACGGGAGGCAGCAGUAGGGAAUCUUCCGCAAUGGACGAAAGUCUGACGGAGCAACGCCGCGUGAACGAUGAAGGUUUUCGGAUCGUAAAGUUCUGUUGUUAGGGAAGAACCGCCGGGAUGACCUCCCGGUCUGACGGUACCUAACGAGAAAGCCCCGGCUAACUACGUGCCAGCACCCGCGGUAAUACGUAGGGGGCAAGCGUUGUCCGGAAUUAUUGGGCGUAAA
rnacentral:rRNA from 1 species